rnacentral:tRNA from 1 species
GCGUCGUUAGUUUAUCGGCAGAAUAUUGGCUUCCCAAGCCAGUGAGCCGGGUUCAAUUCCCGGACGGCGCA